rnacentral:rRNA from 1 species
UACAGGGGGGGCAAGCGUUGUUCGGAAUUACUGGGCGUAAAGGGCUUGUAGGUGGCCAACUAAGUCCGACGUGAAAUCCCUAGGCUUAACCUAGGAACUGCGUCGGAUACUGGAUGGCUUGAAUCCGGGAGAGGGAUGCGGAAUUCCAGGUGUAGCGGUGAAAUGCGUAGAUAUUCGGAGGAACACCAGUGGCGAAGGCGGCUCGCUGGCUCGAUACUGACGCUGAGGUGCGAAAGCGUGGGGAGCAAACAGG